CCCUGAACAAGGACAAGCCUUUGAACAAAUUAAGCGUGAGAUAACUCAUGUGGUGGCCCUUGGACCAGUUCGGACUGGACUAGGUUUUUGGAACUGAGGAUACAACGGAUCUGAGGCCAACUACACUCCAACUGAAAGAGAUAUUAGCAGCAUAUUAAGGGGUCCGAGCUGCAUCAAAAGUGAUUGGUACUGAAGCACAGAUUCUCCUGGCACCUCGAUUGCUGGUUCUGGGCUGGAUGUUCAAAGGGAAGGUUCCCUCUAUGCAUCAUGCAACCUAUGCUAUGUGGAGUGCACAAGAAGCUGGGAGGGAGCAAAGCCAGGACAGCUGACUCAAGAUGGCCAAAGGGGUAUUCCUUACCAUAUGCUAUCAUGCUCAGCUGGAGUUGGAGGGGGGGAAAAAUACCGCUGCUUGGGAACAAACAGGCUAUUGCUGUCAUGAGUGGAGGGGCAUGGAAGACUGUGACAAAAGAACCAAAAAGCCAGGAAGGACUUUGAACAACAUUACCUCUGUUGAAUGUUACUGAAUAUCUAUCAUUGCUACUUGUGCACCCCACCCAUGUGGCUGAGCAGCAUCUACUCCCUGUGGCUAGGGUAUAACUCUGGUCUGUUAAUAUCACCUCAAUGAGUUUCACCUUAAUGAAAGCUCAGUGAAGAAAACCCACUCCUUCCAAAGUCUUUUUAGGGAAAAAAAAAAAAAAAAAAAAAGAAAAA